UAUGGGCCAGCACCCAGAAGAGGAGAACUUAUAGGCUAUAGCAAUUAAAUUUGUGUGAGAGGCGCUGUAGAGAUGAGUGCUCUGGAAAGAGCAAGCGCUUUAAUGAGAGCCCAUGAAGAUAUAUGGUCACGCAGGUCAGGAGUUAUUGCAACCAUCGUACGAGGGGCAAAUAACUGUUUUACAGAGGAGCCAUAAAGGUUUCUGAGGGAUACAUAUAUGCCUGGUUUAGACAAACUGUGAUUUAUGACGGUCUUGUUCAGCUAGAAUUCCCCUCCAAAUUCGUAGCGCUGAAAUGCUUACUGCACAGAAAAAGAGAAAGGGAGGGCAUGAGGGGGGGAAAUGAAAAGAAAAUGACAACAAAAUAAAAUACAUGUGUAAGUUGGAGGUGGAUGUAUUUAAAGUCAACAUCAAACUGCAUUCACAACCUAGUUUACUUCAAAGCCUGAAAGCUCGCCAACACCUGCUUUUGAGGAUGCUUUUUGACAAGGACGUCAAGGUCAGGUUCACCCUCGGCAUAUCCAGAGGUAACAUUAUUUGCUUUUAUUUAUGCGAUGCUUAGUACAUUAACAUUAAAUAGCUUAAACUGCUCAUUAUUAUCUGUAACAGCUACUAAAGUAGUGCCCAAAUAUGCAUUUGACUAAUAUUACAAAAUGUGACCCAAGUGAUGCAACAAACGCUAUUCUUGUAAUGCUGUAAAGACUUCAUUAUUCAUACUUUUAUUAGUUGCUGCAUGCUGUUGUACCGUUACUUAGAUUGUUGUUGUUUUUUUUCAUCAUUGUGCUUUGUGCUUCUGCUUAGUAUUUUUUUGUGUGUGUGCUUGCGCUAAUUGUACAGUUUCGCUGUGUAACUGAUUGCAAUUUCGACUUCUGACUUUCUGCUUCAGUUUCACAGAGAUAGAAAACUCGGAUUUCAAACAACACGAAGGCUAGACUCAUCCCUUUAAUAUUGAAUAUUGAGAGGGGUCAGCACUGUUGCGUUAAAGCUUUCAAGAGUACAGGCGACAAGACGUGACUGACGGCAUUCAGCAGCGAGGUUCAUUGUUAUUCAGCCGCCAUUCAUCAGGCUCUUCUCCUGUAAAUCUACAGUACACUAAUUGCUCCCCUAAAGCAACCAGCAAGCAGGGGGAGGAAAUGCACUGAAGGAGGGAGCGAGCGAUAAAGAAAUGACGACUAGCACUGCAGGUAGAAAAGGGGCAGAAGAAAAGCUGACAUGAUUCAGUAAUUCGCUGAAGUGUGAAUACGGCUCAUUUGCCAGAUCAUCAGGUACAGAGGGAACAUCCAAAAGUGCAGAAAGCCCUUUUAAUAGACUCGUUGGGCUACAAUGUCAUGAACACCGACAUCUGAGCUCCUCUAUGGGCUCUGUUCUACGGUGCAAUGACUCCACAGGUACGAAUUUAAUUACUGCAGUCCCUUGAGCAGCCCCGUAUAGCCGGGUCCCGCACAGCCAACAACCACAGCAAUCAAACACCUGAGCGAGAGAAAGAGACACACACACACACACACAUACAGCUGUGGGUUCACGUUGACUGCAGGUUAAUCAGAGUCAUUUAUCACUCGUGCUGUAAUCGCUAGCAUUAGUCACCUAAACGGCCAGAACUGUACGUGACGUUUUUUCAACCGCUUUCUUCAGCAUCGCUGUGUGCUCUCUCUGUCCACGCUGUCUUUAUCUCCUUCCCUCAUUCAUUUUAUCGCUAUAUCUAUUUCUGUCGCAUACUGGGGAGGAUGAAUUAGUCAUGCUGCCCAUGCAGUGUAAAAAAUUAAGUGUUUGUAGAAUUUUAAAUAAUGAAGGUGACCGUUUGCAUGUCUUGACUUAAAUCUGAGCUGUAACUUAAUAUAUAAAUCGCAAUGACUAAAAUAUAAACGAAUUUUUAUUACAAUUAAAGCCAAAAGUAGUUAAGCCAUGCAAACCGCAAAUUAACCAUGGUUUGCUACACUAACCAUAGUUUAAUAGUAUUUGCAGUAAAACUGUGGUUAUGCAAAUGGACAUGAAUACUAACUAAACGUGGUUACUAUACUUUACUACAAUAAACCAUGAUUAAUUUUGAGAAACUUAGUCAGACCGUCCCUUAUUAAAAUUAACCAUACCACAAAUGAAUUCUAAAAAAAAACUUGUAUGCUACUGUGUUAACCACAAAUAAACCAUGGUUUUGCUACACCAACCAUAGUUUAACUAUAGUUUCAGUACUUUUGGUAGCAGCUGUUUAAGUACAUUGCUUGUUGGUGAUAUGUUUUAGCAUUUUCCCAUGUUUUAAUACUUGAAUACUUUGUUGCCAUGUUUAGUUAGCAUGUUUAUAGCAUGCAGCUAGCAUGAUUCUAAUUUAACACACUAUUAGCAUGUCUUAGCAUGUUACUAGCCAGCUUUGACAAGUCAAAAUGCUUUUUAAUGGUUCGAGACGUGGCGAUGAAUUAAUCACAGUAUGAAUGUCAUUUAUCUCACUCUUCUGAUUUCAAAACGUCUCUACUAGAGCAAUCUGUAACUUAUUUGGAACCUUUUAAGCUUUUAGAGCGUUAAAUGGCUUUUCGAACUCAAAAUAAUAUUUGCGGAAAGAAUUAUCCUACGUUCAGACUUGCCUGCUGUGCAAAAACGAUACUAAAGGUAAUGAAAGACCCACCAUUGUCAAGCAAAUUGCAGUUGUUCUGGCUACCUGCACAUUUUAGGAUUCAUUUUAGUGUCCCCACCUGGUUUUUAAAGCUCUCGGAGGGGAUUCACUCAUCUGAAUGUCUGACAAACAGUUUUCCAGAUCGCAGAACCGCAAUGUCAUCUGAGUUUUACUCGGACAAUAAAACUUCCUAUGUAAUUUUUUAAGUCAGUUUUACAAAGUACAUAUUUUCAACUUUUUAUGAGAAUUUUGCUAACAACUUUUUUUUUCUUCUUUUGAAUUCAGCUAUUGAACUAGGUUUUAUGAAUAGUUUUCUUUCUUAAGUCUGUAUAUGAAAUGAAAUUUUAUAACCAAAUGAAUACAGUAUAUCAAGAGUUCACAUACUUGUUUCCUUGCUAUAUUUAUAACAUAAAAAAUUCAUAGAAAAACCUUUUUAACCCUUUGGCUAACAAAUGAUCCAGGACAUCCUCUGGUGCCUCUUGAAAAAGCAAAAUAAGUGCAAUUUUACAUCGCCCAGAUUUAAAACGGAUCUUCUUGCUAGCUCUAUAGUAAUUUCUUUUUAAGUAGCAGUAGUACUAGUAUUAAUAUAAAUAUUAGCAUUAGGUUAUCUAAAUCAGUGGGAGUACAGGAAGAUCUUAGUUGCUUAGAGAACAGUUUUCUUUCUUUCUUUUUUUUUCUUUUCUUUGCCACAGGCUGUUAAGAGUCAACAUUCUGCAAACCUUAAUUACCCUCCCGAGGGAAACAGUUGCUUAUUUCAUUCUCAAAGGAUUUGUGUUGCAUAUCCAUUCUUGCCAUGGCUGUUACAUGACUUCAACACUCAUGUAUUACCCCCUUUUGCAUUUGCAUAGUGUUUUUCUUUUUUUUUUUCUUUCUUUCUUUCCUUCUUUCUUUCAUCUCAACAUGUCUCCGCAUAAGUACUGUUUAAUUAGGGACUAAACAGCAAAAGUGUGUAGCCGUCUAUUGUAUCAUCAUUUGGUUUCCUUAUCGGUCGUUAACUUCUGACUGGGAGUCUGUGAAAACCUCAAGGUAAAAAAACUUGGAAUUUGGCACACUGAUUCAUUUGGGUCUCAAUAUUUUUAGUGCCAAUUUGGGGGUCUAUAUCUUCAACUCUCUAGCGCCAUCUAGCGUCACAAUAUUCAUCCAUUGUAAGCUUGUAAGUUUUGUGCCCAUUUGUACAGAAACAUGAUUCUUGUGUUUUUUCGUUUGCUUAGGUAAAGUUGUGUCCACAGCACCAAGCAAACUCUUAGGAAUUAAUUUAAGAUCAAAACAUGCAAGGUUUUUUUUGCUGUUCCAGUCACAAUUAUAGUUAGAUUUACAGUAGGUGUAGUCAUUAGGAUAACCUUUACAGUAGGCUUGGACCAUACAUUUUUGUUAGAGUAUGUACUACUGGAGCACCACAGGGAUGGAGCACCCAUUGUUUUUUUUACCCCAUAGUCCCAUUUAUUAUUAUUAUUAUUAUAUUUAGUUAGUAUUAUUUGGGUCAUAUUAUUUUAUGAAGAUGGCAGUCAAGAUGUACUGGUUUCUUGAUAAAUCAACCCAAAAUUUGGUAAAUUUGCUCUUCAGUAAUUGAAGAUGUAGCGCAUUUCACAAGGCUUCUAUGUACUGACACAAAACUUGUUUACAUAAAAAUCAAAUUUUCAUAUAAAUUGCCCUGAGCGUACCGUAAAGCAGCAGUUUCCAAUUGGGCCACCUACUGUAAAAUCAAAAUGGCCAAAAAGUGUAACCCUUUAGUUUUUUUUCUUCCAUUUGUCCUUACUAUUGUAAGUUUGUAUGGUUUCGGAACUGGUUGACAGUAACAUCUGAACUAUGCAAAGUAACCUGAUCCACCUACAGGACAAAAGUUUUAAGCAGAAAUGUAUCCAAUUCUAGACUUUGUAAAAGGCAUUAAGAUAUAUAUUCCCCUGAUGUGCUUGUCCUGUAAUGUCUUGCAGCUAUAAUUAUAUUUUCUUCCUCUCUCUCUCCUUCGUCUCUCAUCUUGCAAUGUCAUUUGCUGAUCUAUCAUUGUUCAUUUUCUCUUAAGCACCGUCAUUUCUCUCUUUCCCCUUUCCCCGCUGUCUUCCGCUCAGCGGUUUCGUUCAUCUCAUUUCCAGGUAUCUUCUGGCACGACCAUAUAAUUUCACCAAAGCUAAGUGCUGACGGUGAGAAAUUGUUAAUGUACCGAAUCCAAAGAGAAUUACAAUAAAUAGCUGUUGCGAAUAACACAUGGUCUUUGUAAACAAAACACACUUGGCUAACUGAUUUAAAAGCAAUGGACAUUCGCAAAGUGCUUUUUGAGAGCUAGCAAGUGUGGCGAGAGCUGUUAGAUUUUAUGAUGAACGGGAAAAACUGGCAGAUUGGAGUCUCUCUCCCCUCUCCGCCAUUAAACCAGCUUUAUAGGAGGAUGGAAAGAGAGGCCAUGCUGCAUCGGUGGUCAUUAAAUUCAAAGUGAACACAUAUUGUGGUAAAUAAAGCAUUCAUGAGUGCCGCAGAGAGAUGCAGACUUCGCACUUCCUCAGACGUGCACAGAUGUUUACACCUCCAUCAUUCUCCUGUUGCGCUACCGGCGCUCAGCAGCCAGCCGCCCACGCUAAAUUCAACCACUGCGACAACGCAUGAGGCCUGCAAAGGUUAGUUAACUUGACUGCGUUCUUGAACGAGAAAAAAGUAAAAUGGGCUCUUAAUGCGCUUUACGUUUACUUUAGGUCAGCAUCUCAAAGAACUUGUCUGGGGAAUGUUUUUGACCUCAGAGUAAUGGAAAGAAGAGAGAACUUGAUGGAAAAAUAAACUUUUGUGGCUUUGACUAAAGUAGUUUGAUCAAAAAUUCCGGAUUAUAUCUUCAGUAAGUUUUAGAUUAAACGUUCAUGAAUUUAGUCCAGAUCCUCAAACACACUCGUAAGAAUGUGUACAGUAUGGCAAAUUCACACAAUGUUGUACAACUUGAAUUGUAUGAAAUAUUUUAUUGUUUUUUCUUCUUAUAACAAUUUUAAGUAUUGGGUAAAAUGAUUGAAAUUUUUAUGACUCAGGACACUGUUGGCGCACCCAUUGAUUUUGACUUGAACUCAAGUCAUUUGGUCUAACCACUAAUUCAUGGCUUUAACUAACAUUUAGCUUUAGGUGUUUAUAGGCGCCAACAUUCUCUUCCAAAAUCUUAGAUUAGAAACGUAGAGAGUACUUUAUAUUUUCAAUGGACCAGAACAUCUAGUGUUCUCAUGAUAAUUCAUACAAUAUGGAAAAAUCACACGUUAUUUGACUUAGAUUGUAUGAAAACGUACAGGUUUUCCUAGUACAGUAAUGUUUAGUUUUAGGGGUUUGGGUAAAGUGUUUGGAUUUAGGAUUACGUUUAGUUUUGGAUCACAUGUUUUUAUAUUUAUUUUUACAACUUCUCAUUACACUUGUUUGAAGCACCUGCUGAUUUAGACUUGAUGCUCCAACUCUUGUUCAUGGCUUUAAUCAAUGUUUACCUUUUGUUUAAUAGAUUCAAAAAAAGUUUGAUUCAAAAUUCUUGAUUGCAUUUUCAGUAAGCUUUACAUUAGACAUACACAAACGCACUAUUUCCAGCUUCAGAGUGUAGUUCAUCUUUUCAAUGAGCCAUUUCUCUGAUGUCUGAGGACACUGGUGGCUUGCUUCACAAAUUAAUUCAAUUUCUGCUGUUUUCAGAGCCAAAACACAUCCAAUUUCAAGAAUUGGGCAGCUCUCCAGGCCAGACAACUUUUGAAAAACAAUUUCUAAAUAAGAUGCGUAAUGAAGACAAAUGGGGAACUUGGAUACUUGGGCAUACCUGAGCCUCGCUAUAGGAAUCGUGGGAAAGACAUUAAGCCAUUCACAGCGUUUUGGAACAGAAGCUCAGAGAGCGAUUAUCCUGAGAGCAGGCCGACUGACGGACUGAUUAAACACACAGAAGGCAUGAACUAAAGAAGAACGAGGGACUGAGAGAAAGAGAGGGACUAAAAGAGCGAAAGGACCAGACAGAGAUAAUGGGAAAAGAAGCAGAUUACGGAAAAGAAUCGAGAGAUGGCCAUGUGGGAUCUGCAGAACCUGAAGUGAAGUGAAAUAAACGAGGUCCUGUGAGUCUUUCUCUACUUGAAGGCAUGAGUGCUGUUUCCAAACACAUGAUGACAUCAGACCUGCAUCAUGUGAGGUCAUACCAAGUUGACCAAGAUGGUCAACUAACUUUGGAACACUGUUUACCAGCUCAACCAGUCCCCUGCAAGGUCUACCAGCUGUAAUCCAGUUGACCGAGGUGGCUUACCAGGUUGACCUCGACUCCAUCAGCUCAAUUUAUCAACCAGUUUGGACAUUCAUGGAUCGUGACUAGAUGGAUCAGAGCUAAGAAUCACAACAGGACUUGGCUAAUGACCAUACAGCUUUGGAAGGGUAUGAAGUGGAUGUUUGGAACCCAAGAUGCACGAGGGCAUUGGGCAUGUGGACCAUUCUGGACAAGGCAGAUCCGAGCCACCAGCAAAGGGCCCACUGAAACAGUGUCAAUCAACAGAGGGCCAUGCCACCCUCCAGACGAUGGCAAUCCCGAGUGCCCCCUCCAUGCCAAGCCACGUCGGCAACGGAAGCCGAGAACUGAGAGCUAAAGGCUUAGCUUUUCAUCAAAGGCAAAAUGCUUAUCUCCCACCACAGAGACUUGAGCUGCGUCAUUUCCAAACAUCUGCCACUGACCGACUAAUGCUGAGAAAACUGAUUUCUGAUGAGCUAAAAUAGCGACACAGAAAUUCAAUGUAAAGAGUAAAAUCGAACUACUUUCUCCUCCGGGAAUGAAAGUGCCACUAUUUACUUAGAGAUUAACGUCUGACUGGAUGAAGCGCCAAUCCCUUGCUGGAGUAUUUUUGAAUUUUGCCCUUUCAAAUCGUUCACAUUCAUCUUCGAAACGCAGCUUAUCGCUGCAUCUUCUGUCGGCGGGAUUACGUUUUUAUUUCUACAUGCUUCUCAGUCCGAACAACAGCAAAAUUUGCUCUCCCUGAAAAUCGCUUCCAGAAAUCUGUGACGAGAUGGAAGGAUAGACAGCGAGUGAGUCAGAGAUACAGACAAUGACUCAAUGAGCACCAGAGAGCUGAUCAUUUAUUUAUAAAUGGCUUACGACUGUGACUGCAGUGGAUUGCUGGUAUAAUAAGAGGCCUUGUGGACGUACGCAAGAGACUUGAGUGGCACACUGGGGAGAAUGAGGAUGUCUGUUAUCAACUGCAAGAGAAGAAAGCGACUCAAGUGGGGGAAAAAUUCAACUUCAAGCUAAAAUAAGCAAUGUCUCUUCGCCCCCUGCUGUCUGCUGCGCUGAGCCACGGACAAAUAGAGGAGAAAAGCCUGUUUUUGGUGGACUGGGGAUGAAAAGGGUCGAGAAAUUUCAAGGGCUGCUGAUGAAGAGCCUUCCACCUGUGAUGAGGUUUUCUUGAUGGACUGCAUCUUGGCCUGAGGCUUGCUUUGAAGCAGCUGUCGCACAAACCAAGACAACAGACAAGGGUUCAAAAGGAAAUGCAUCACCAGUUUUUAUGGCUCACGCUGAAAGAGCGAACGAGGCCGUCUGCCCGCCUCGCACUUCUUUAACCGGCAUGCGCUUGCGGUGAAUGGAUUUGACGGUGAUGGGGAUGAAGACGCCCAAAGGAUCCGGACCGAGGAGCAGCGUGUCAUUCAGCCGUAUUAAUC